ensembl:lncRNA
AUAAUCUAUCAUUAUUUGACAUUUUUGAUCUUAUUAAUGAAAUCAUUUAUGAAGAGCACAUGACACAAAGUACAACAAUAACUCAUCAAGGAUGAAAGCAGAUCACUGGAGUUAGUGCAUCACCGGUUUCGUUUACUCAGAAGUACAAGUCUUUCUUGUAAGAUUAGGUGGGUCGUAUCAAGUCAUGCUAGAGGUUUGAAGGAAUGUAAAAACUGCAUUCAGGUAGGUAGAUGUGGUUUUUGCCCAUUUAUGGCUUUGUAGGUGAGUAUCUAUCUCUCCUUCUGCCAUCUGUCAAAAUAUGAUUGGCUGACAACCGAUAUAAAGCGAAUCAGUUUUAUGUUCUCUGUGGUAGUCCCUAAGAAAAAAUAACGGGGGAAGUGGUGGGUAUCUUCUAAAGUUUUUUCAACUUUAACGGGCUUUUAUGUGCAUAAAUAAUAUAAUUAUGACUAGACUCGUGAGUUUGUAAGUGUCAGUUUAGCAAAUUUCUAAAGUUAGCCUUGUUUUUAUAUGUAUCUGUCUAUAACUUUGGUGGUAAAGGGUGAGGUUAUCUAAAGUAUUGCUAGUUAGUGUACAUUACAUAGAAAUUGAGUAAAAUCAAUGUUUAUUGCUAUAAGGAGUCAAGAGACAAGUGACAUAACGAGCCACAAUGUAUACAUGGUAGAAAAAAUAACUUAUCAUGUGCCUUAUUUUUUCUUCCAUGAUGUUAGCUAUACAUAUUCAUACCAAUUUAUACUACAUGCUUAAAACACAGCAAUGUCAGGAGGCCGUAUUAAAUAUUUUCUCUCAGUCCUGUGUUUCACCUCAGCUUUGAGUAUUUGUGUUUGAGCCAGUGUUGCUGGGUUGUUAUGCUGUCACAGUCCAGUGUCAAAAUUCAACCAAUGAUUUCUGAUGUUGUGUUACCUACACAAACCAUGUGUGUAUAUAAUGUAAAAUAACUGAUCUCCAUUCAUAGAUGUAGAAAAAACAGCAGUUUGUAUAGUGUAUAUUGUGCAACUGUGACUUUAUAUUAGAUUACUGCUUACUGUAAAUAUCUCAGUCGUUAAACACUACUACUACUACUACUACUACUACUACUACUACUACUAAUAAUAAUAAUAAUAAUAAUAAUAAUCCUACUGUUCUCACACUGAAUUUCUCUCAUUUUGCAGGUUUUCUGGAGGAAAACGUACAUGCAUGGUGUUACUGCUAGGUAGAAAAAUAUAUAGUAUGAAUUCAAAAUUUCCUAAGCCUAUACAAUCCGUUUCAAACAAUUUACAUUUUAAAAUGUCCAAAUAUAUUUUUUGGAAAAAAAUUCAAAAUAAAAAGUCUAUAUCACACGGUUCUAACAUUCUUCAUUCAGGUAAUAGCUCACAUCCACCUUGGUGUACGAGUGAAAAUAUUAAGAUCUGUUUAAAUAAACUAAAAUCUACGAAAGGCCCUGUAAUUUACGAAAGUGGAGAAAUUCUAAAAUAUGAUCCCAGCAUGAGGCCGGUGAUUAGAAAAGAAAUACCAUGCGAAAUUAUUAUUACCGCCGGAAAAAAAAUUAGAAGAAAAGAACUUGGCUGUUAUUACAGUUCUGGUCAUGUCCUGACUGCGUUUCAUGUUGUUGAAGGUUUAGAAAAUUUUGACAUACUCGUUGCUUUCCAUAAUGGAAAACGUACGCUGAUUUAUAAGGCUAAAUUUCCAAAAUCUUAUAACACUGACUCACACAGAGAUCAGACAUGUAUUAAAUUACUUGGUGACACUAACCCGCUUGGUGAUGGUUUACAAAAUCAAGUUGGUAAAGCCAAUAAAUCCAAAAGUGUAUAUUUUUACAUACAAACUCCUGACGGAAAGUUUAAGAAGCAGGAGGGUGAAAUCGUGCAGGACGGUAAUAUCGUUAAAGAAAGACGCUAUGAAUUUAGAAUAUCUGUAGCUGGUAAACAUGGAGACAGUGGCUCACUUGUUUAUAAAGCUGAGGGUGAACCGUUUGGCAUAUAUAGAGGCGUACGUAAGGACAAUGGAUAUGGUGUCUGUUCUAGAAUUUCUCCACAUUUUAAACCUGUUAACAUGUAACUGAUGUUACAGAUUUAUUUAAUAGUUCUAAAAAAAAUAAUAUUUUAUUUAUAUUUAAAAAAACUUAUUUUUUUAAAAACCUAACAAGAAACUGAUAUUACGGAAUUAUUUAAAAGGUUUAUAACAAUAUUUUAUUUAUAUAAAAAAGUCUUAAUUUUUUAAAAGAAUAUAAUUUUUUGUUAUCAUAGCAAACUGUCUCUCACUUUUAUUCUAAGCCUGAGUAGAGUGUACGUGUGUGACGUGCGUGUACAUGCAACACAUGAGUCGAACUGAGCCACUGGGGCCAAGCCUCUGGAUUUCCCGUUUCAUUUUUGUUUUCUGCAGACUGAGGAAUUAAAGCUCAUGUAAAAGCGCAACCCAAGUCCGCUGAGUUUCACCUGCUGGCAGCGAGCAUUUACCACACUGAUGACAAAAACCUGGAGAUCAGUACACACCGAAAACCACAUGUACAUGGAGCCAAAUCCCCUGGCACAGAUCGUCCAGCCUCAAGCCAUCUUCUAGGAUGCAAGAGAAGCAGCAUCAGGCCCUCACAGGUCUGCAGCAACAGCAGCAGGAAAUCCUCCAUAAACAUCAUGGAGGAGCAAGCGGCAGACCAACCCACCAUCCAGAGCCUGCUGGCACGAUCCCCUCUAUAAACUCUCUCACUGGUCAGAAUGACACCCCAGGGUGAUGUCGAGGUGUACCUGGAGAUGUUCGAGAGUACCACCUGGGCAUGAGGCUGGCUGAGUGAGGUCUGCACAUUCAAGACCUCCUGAACAGAGACCUGGCUGCUUUCCAGUGGCUCGCAUUGGCUCAUGCAUUGUGUGCACACACACACACACACACACACACACACACACACACACACACACACACACACACACACACACACACACACCACUCAGGCUCAGCUCACUAAGACAGAUGGGGACAGAAAGCUCGGAAAAAGCUGAGUUCUCCAUUAUUUAGAUUUGACCAUUUCUAAGCACAUAGGGCUAAUGGAAUUAUAAACACUAUGCCUGGAAAUCAUAAAAUACGUAAUGUUAAAGACAAGAAAAUGUUUUUAAAAAUUACAUAAAAAUCACCUUCCCAAAACCAGCACAAAAAAUUUAAUAUAAAAAAAUACCCAUAACAUUUAUUAUUAUUAUUAUUAUUAUUAUUAUUAUUAUUAUUAUUAUUAUUAUAUAGUAGGCAGGCAUGUAGUGUAUGAUCCUCUGGAAACCACUUCCUCCAUUUUAUCUGGCGGCUGCCCAGGGUGAGGUGCACAAAAUAAGACAGUAGAUACACUAAAGGAAAGAACAACUCACCCUUGCUGCACUGGAUAGAGGACACCUGGAUACUGUAGAUUUAUACCUACAAAAUGCUGCUGUAAUCAUCAUCGCUGCAGUCAUCACUUCACCUGUGUGCUGUAAUAAGUUAUAAUCACACUAUCCGGUGUCACCCACAAGAGGAUGGGUUCCCUACUGAGUCUGGUUCCUCUCAAGGUUUCCUCCUCAUGUCACCUCAGGGAGGUUUUCCUUGCCAUCGUUGCCUUAAAAGCUUGCUCACUAGGGAUCUAAAUCUACAUCCAGGUUUCUGUAACAAAAUAUCUACUGAACAAGAACAAUAAAAUGAAACGUUGAAAUGAACUGAACUGGUGUGAUGACUAUCUCAUGAUUAAACUCUGGGUCAGAAAGAAUAUAGUUUACUGGAAAUCUAA